UCCGAGUUGACCCCGGCAGUCUCCUAUGAGUCCCCGGCAUUAUCCGCUGGCAACAUAGAACGAGGGUUGCGCUCGUUGCGGGACUUAACCCAACAUCUCACGACACGAGCUGACGACAACCAUGCACCACCUGUAUACCGCCCUUGCGGACCCCAUAUCUCUAUGAGUUUUCGGUAUAUGUCAAGCCCAGGUAAGGUUCUUCGCGUUGCUUCGAAUUGAACCACAUGCUCCACCGCUUGUGCGGGCCCCCGUCAAUUCCUUUGAGUUUCAGCCUUGCGGCCGUACUCCCCAGGCGGGGUACUUAUUGCGUUAGCGACGGCACCGAGGGAGUGGAUACCCCCGACACCUAGUGCCCAUCGUUUAGGGCGUGGACUAC
rnacentral:misc_RNA from 1 species